GGGUUGUGAGGUUAAGCGACUAAGCGUACACGGUGGAUGCCCUGGCAGUCAGAGGCGAUGAAGGACGUGCUAAUCUGCGAAAAGCGCCGGCGAGGUGAUAUGAACCUUUGACCCGGCGAUGUCCGAAUGGGGAAACCCAGUGCAAUCCGUUGCACUAUCGUUAACUGAAUACAUAGGUUAACGAGGCGAACCGGGGGAACUGAAACAUCUAAGUACCCCGAGGAAAAGAAAUCAACCGAGAUUCCCCCAGUAGCGGCGAGCGAACGGGGAGCAGCCCGGAGUCUGAAUCAGCUUGUGUGUUAGUGGAACGGUCUGGAAAGUCCGACGGUACAGGGUGAUAGUCCCGUACACGAAAGCACACUUGCUGUGAACUCGAAGAGUAGGGCGGGACACGUGGUAUCCUGUCUGAAUAUGGGGGGACCAUCCUCCAAGGCUAAAUACUCCUGACUGACCGAUAGUGAACCAGUACCGUGAGGGAAAGGCGAAAAGAACCCCGGCGAGGGGAGUGAAAAAGAACCUGAAACCGUGUACGUACAAGCAGUGGGAGCCUCUUUAUGGGGUGACUGCGUACCUUUUGUAUAAUGGGUCAGCGACUUAUAUUCUGUAGCAAGGUUAACCGUAUAGGGGAGCCGAAGGGAAACCGAGUCUUAACUGGGCGUUAAGUUGCAGGGUAUAGACCCGAAACCCGGUGAUCUAGCCAUGGGCAGGUUGAAGGUUGGGUAACACUAACUGGAGGACCGAACCGACUAAUGUUGAAAAAUUAGCGGAUGACCUGUGGCUGGGGGUGAAAGGCCAAUCAAACCGGGAGAUAGCUGGUUCUCCCCGAAAGCUAUUUAGGUAGCGCCUCGUGAACUCAUCUUCGGGGGUAGAGCACUGUUUCGGCUAGGGGGCCAUCCCGGCUUACCAACCCGAUGCAAACUACGAAUACCGAAGAAUGUUAUCACGGGAGACACACGGCGGGUGCUAACGUCCGUCGUGAAGAGGGAAACAACCCAGACCGCCAGCUAAGGUCCCAAAGUCAUGGUUAAGUGGGAAACGAUGUGGGAAGGCACAGACAGCCAGGAUGUUGGCUUAGAAGCAGCCAUCAUUUAAAGAAAGCGUAAUAGCUCACUGGUCGAGUCGGCCUGCGCGGAAGAUGUAACGGGGCUAAACCAUGCACCGAAGCUGCGGCAGCGACGCUUAUGCGUUGUUGGGUAGGGGAGCGUUCUGUAAGCCGUUGAAGGUGUCCUGUGAGGGGUGCUGGAGGUAUCAGAAGUGCGAAUGCUGACAUAAGUAACGAUAAAGCGGGUGAAAAGCCCGCUCGCCGGAAGACCAAGGGUUCCUGUCCAACGUUAAUCGGGGCAGGGUGAGUCGACCCCUAAGGCGAGGCCGAAAGGCGUAGUCGAUGGGAAACAGGUUAAUAUUCCUGUACUUGGUGUUACUGCGAAGGGGGGACGGAGAAGGCUAUGUCAGCCGGGCGACGGUUGUCCCGGUUUAAGCAUGUAGGCGGAGGUUCCAGGUAAAUCCGGUACCUUAUUAACGCUGAGGUGUGAUGACGAGGCACUACGGUGCUGAAGUGAUAAAUGCCCUGCUUCCAGGAAAAGCCUCUAAGCAUCAGGUAACACGAAAUCGUACCCCAAACCGACACAGGUGGUCAGGUAGAGAAUACCAAGGCGCUUGAGAGAACUCGGGUGAAGGAACUAGGCAAAAUGGUGCCGUAACUUCGGGAGAAGGCACGCUGAUAUGUAGGUGAAGUCCCUGCGGACGGAGCUGAAAUCAGUCGAAGAUACCAGCUGGCUGCAACUGUUUAUUAAAAACACAGCACUGUGCAAACACGAAAGUGGACGUAUACGGUGUGACGCCUGCCCGGUGCCGGAAGGUUAAUUGAUGGGGUUAGCGGCAACGCGAAGCUCUUGAUCGAAGCCCCGGUAAACGGCGGCCGUAACUAUAACGGUCCUAAGGUAGCGAAAUUCCUUGUCGGGUAAGUUCCGACCUGCACGAAUGGCGUAAUGAUGGCCAGGCUGUCUCCACCCGAGACUCAGUGAAAUUGAACUCGCUGUGAAGAUGCAGUGUACCCGCGGCAAGACGGAAAGACCCCGUGAACCUUUACUAUAGCUUGACACUGAACACUGGUCCUUGAUGUGUAGGAUAGGUGGGAGGCUUUGAAGCGUGGACGCCAGUCUGCGUGGAGCCAACCUUGAAAUACCACCCUUUAAUGGCUGGUGUUCUAACGUAGACCCGUAAUCCGGGUUGCGGACAGUGUCUGGUGGGUAGUUUGACUGGGGCGGUCUCCUCCCAAAGAGUAACGGAGGAGCACGAAGGUUGGCUAAUCCUGGUCGGACAUCAGGAGGUUAGUGCAAUGGCAUAAGCCAGCUUGACUGCGAGCGUGACGGCGCGAGCAGGUGCGAAAGCAGGUCAUAGUGAUCCGGUGGUUCUGAAUGGAAGGGCCAUCGCUCAACGGAUAAAAGGUACUCCGGGGAUAACAGGCUGAUACCGCCCAAGAGUUCAUAUCGACGGCGGUGUUUGGCACCUCGAUGUCGGCUCAUCACAUCCUGGGGCUGAAGUAGGUCCCAAGGGUAUGGCUGUUCGCCAUUUAAAGUGGUACGCGAGCUGGGUUUAGAACGUCGUGAGACAGUUCGGUCCCUAUCUGCCGUGGGCGCUGGAGAAUUGAGGGGGGCUGCUCCUAGUACGAGAGGACCGGAGUGGACGCAUCACUGGUGUUCGGGUUGUCAUGCCAAUGGCACUGCCCGGUAGCUAAAUGCGGAAGAGAUAAGUGCUGAAAGCAUCUAAGCACGAAACUUGCCCCGAGAUGAGUUCUCCCUGAGACUUUAAGUCUCCUGAAGGAACGUUGAAGACGACGACGUUGAUAGGUCGGGUGUGUAAGCGCAGCGAUGCGUUGAGCUAACCGAUACUAAUGAACCGUGAGGCUUAACCUUACAACGCCGAAGCUGUU
rnacentral:rRNA from 2 species